rnacentral:rRNA from 1 species
UGGCUCAGAACGAACGCUGGUGGCGUGUCUUAUACAUGCAAGUCGAGCGAGGCAGCAAUGCCGAGCGGCGAACGGGUGAGUAACGCGUAAGCAAUCUGCCCCAUAUCAGGAAAUACCCGUGCCAACGCGCGGUUAAUGUCCAGGAGAGUGGCCCUCUGCAUGGAGGGUUGACUAGAGAUUUAUCGGUAUGGGAUGAGCUUGCGUCCGAUUAGCUAGUUGGCGGGGCAACGGCCCACCAAGGCGACGAUCGGUAGCCGGCCUGAGAGGGUGAUCGGCCACAUUGGGACUGAGAUACGGCCCAGACUCCUACGGGAGGCAGCAGUAGGGAAUAUUGCACAAUGGGGGAAACCCUGAUGCAGCAACGCCACGUGUGGGAAGAAGCAUUUCGGUGUGUAAACCACUGUCAUGAGGGAAUAAGGCCCUUAUCCGUAAGGGACUUGAAUGUACCUUGAGAGGAAGCACCGGCAAACUUCGUGCCAGCCGCCGC